UACGUAGGGUGCGAGCGUUGUCCGGAAUUAUUGGGCGUAAAGGGUGCGUAGGCGGUUCCGCAAGUCCUGUGUGAAAUCUUCGGGCUCAACUCGAAGUCUGCACGGGAAACUGCGGGGCUUGAGUGUGGGAGAGGUGAGUGGAAUUCCGGUGUAGCGGUGAAAUGCGUAGAUAUCGGGAGGAACACCUGUGGCGAAAGCGGCUCACUGGACCAUAACUGACGCUGAGGAGCGAAAGCGUGGGGAGCAAACAGG
rnacentral:rRNA from 1 species